AUGGAGACAUGGCAUAAAGCCAGAGAGUGAGAGACAUGAACUCAUUCAUCAGGCUGUAACUUGAACUGACUCACAUCUCAUUUU
rfam:Oryctolagus cuniculus chromosome 12, whole genome shotgun sequence.